rnacentral:rRNA from 1 species
UACAGAGGUCCCAAGCGUUGUUCGGAUUCACUGGGCGUAAAGGGUGCGUAGGUGGUGAGGUAAGUCGGAUGUGAAAUCUCCGAGCUCAACUCGGAAAUGGCAUUGGAAACUACCUUGCUUGAGGGUUGGAGGGGGGACUGGAAUACUUGGUGUAGCAGUGAAAUGCGUAGAUAUCAAGUGGAACACCAGUGGCGAAGGCGAGUCUCUGGACGACUCCUGACACUGAGGCACGAAAGCUAGGGGAGCAAACAGG